UCGGUUUGAAAAUAUAUUUCAUAACAUACUGCUCUUCGGCAAUAUUAUCUUCUUUUGUUUAUUGUUUUUUCCACAUGGGUUUAGUCGGGGAAGUCACCUUUUUUCAAGGAGCUCCUGGGAAGUCUAGUAGACGACUCCAAGUACAAACAAGUGAUCACAGUUAAUAAGGAAUACUCUGGGAACUGUGCCUCUGGAUACUGGCGUGGGAGUUAAACUGUGAAGAUAAAGUCCCCUUUAUCUGUGAGGGCGAUCCUGGGAGAGUGUGAAUUUUCCCCCCAUCUGUCCUGAGUAAGAGGGAGAGAAGCUCGGAGUGAGAAGAUAAUGUGUGGGAGAGAGACAGUGUGUCUGCCGGGACUCCUCUGCUGAUUCCUGGAGACGAUCCUGGUCUCUUGUUUCUCCACUGAUACUCCCACUGUCACUCCUUCUGUUCUCUACGGCUGAGAAAACAGUUGUACAGCAAAAUGGGGGUUUCAUUCCUUUAA